ACUACUAUAAAAACAAAAAAUAAAAUAAAAAAUAUACAUUUCCAAAAAGGAAAAAUAAUUAUUUCUCAUUUUUCUAGGAAAAGCAAUUUUAUUAUGGAAUAGCAUGGUCAAUUUAGUAUGGGACUGCAACCAAUUAAGGAAAGAAGGUUUUUGCUGAUUAAUUAAAAUUAACAGAAAUUAUUCAAAUACUGUGUGGAUGAAUUAUAUAAACACCCCUACCCACCCACCUCCACAAGUGCCUGAAGUUACGCAACACUAUCUGGUGAUUUGAAGAGCAAAGGCCUUCAUUUGUUAGAGGCGAAGAAGGUGAGCAGAAUAAACAUUAACUUAUUCUAACUGGCCAAGUCUGCAGGAGAUGCAAUAGGUCUGAGAGACUGAAAUAGGAGUAGAACCACCACCUAGAGAGAAUUGUGAUGCUCAACAUUACAUAACUCCUUAGAGCUAGAUCUGGAACUAGAGUUUUUUCAAGUUGUACUUUUAUCUCAGACAAAUAAAUAUUGAAAUUAUUUAA